rnacentral:misc_RNA from 1 species
AAAACUAGCAGAAAUGGCACUCCGGCAAGUUGGGGCUGUCAUGCUAGCUGAAAGGGUGGUGGAAACUGCUGAAGUAUUGGUGGUAGCUGCCACUGUGUCUGUUGCUGUACAUGGGCCAUGGUAUAUGAAUCUAGCUGAUAACAUGUGAUGGAAUUGUAUGCACAAGGAAAGUGGGAGACAGAAUGAUAAUGCAGAAUUGUAAAAAGUAGUGUGCGUAAAAGCCCUGUAAUUGAAAAAUAAUAUUUGAUCAUAAUGCACAUUCUUCAGUGAUUGUAAUGUAGAAUUCAUUGAUGUAGUGAAACAGAGGAGACUGCAAUUUUGUGCAUGCUUUAGCAGCCAAAAACAAGA